rnacentral:rRNA from 1 species
UGACCUCGAAUCAGGUAGGAAUACCCGCUGAACUUAAGCAUAUCAAUAAGCGGAG